ACGGCGAGUGAAGAGGGAAAAGCUCAAGUUUGGAAGCUUCGUGGCAUAGCUACGACGCGUUGUAAACUGAAGUUUUUUGGGUGAUUGGGCGACCGGAUAAAUAAGUCCUUUGGAAAGGGGCAACAUAGAGGGUGACAUUCCCGUCUUUGGUCCGAGUCAGUGCAGUCGCUGCCCAGGAAACGACGAGUCAGGUUGUUUGGGAAUGCAGCCUAAAAUGGGAGGUAAAUCUCUCCUAAAGCUAAAUACUGGCGUAAGACCGAUAGCGAACAAGUACCGUGAGGGAAAGAUGAAAAGGACUUUGAAAAGAGGGUCAAAUAGUACGUGAAAUUGUUGAAAGGGAACCGUAUGAAAGUAGACUGGCUUGGUGAUGAUCAAUGUGUGUUUCGGCACGCAUGCACUCAUUGCCUUUGCCAGCCAGCGGCAGUUUUUGCUAAAGGAAGAAAAUCAGGGGAAUGUAGCUUCGAUUUCGGUUGAAGUGUUAUAGCUCCUGGUAAAAUACUUUGGCAGAGACUGAGGCUAGCAGCGGAUCUUUGGGAACUUUGUGCGCUUGUCGUCCAAUGGUUAAGUUUUCUUCGGAUGCUUGGUCAUUGGGUGGCAACUCGUGUGAUGCUUCACCCUUCCGCUUAGGUCGC
rnacentral:rRNA from 1 species